rnacentral:ribozyme from 1 species
UCUAUGUAAAAGCAAAACGCGUGCGUGUGUGUCAUCGUCGUCGUCGUCGUCCAUAUGGUCAAUCAAAAGCAGGGUUUCCA